rfam:Solanum lycopersicum cultivar Heinz 1706 chromosome 9, whole genome shotgun sequence.
AACUCUUUGAGAUAUUCAAUUAAAUUAGAAUGAUACAAAGAAGAUUAGCACGACCCUUGCACAAGGAUGACACACACCAAUUGUGAAUGAUUCAAAUUUUUA